CAGCCGCCACGGUAAUACGAAGGGUGCAAGCGUUAAUCGGAAUUACUGGGCGUAAAGCGUGCGUAGGCGGUGAGUUAAGUCUGCUGUGAAAUCCCCGGGCUCAACCUGGGAAUGGCAGUGGAUACUGGCUCGCUAGAGUGUGUCAGAGGAUGGUGGAAUUCCCGGUGUAGCGGUGAAAUGCGUAGAGAUCGGGAGGAACAUCAGUGGCGAAGGCGGCCAUCUGGGACAACACUGACGCUGAGGCACGAAAGCGUGGGGAGCAAACAGGAUUAGAUACCCCCUUAGUCCCUGUCUCUUAUAC
rnacentral:rRNA from 1 species